AGGCAAGAGAGGAGAUAGAUUGGGGAGCAGGGAGAAGGAUAUGGAAGAAUCACAGGCAUCUAGCCUCGACCUGGAAGAAAGGCAGGCUUCUCUAUGCCACCUGAAUUCCUUGGCUUGCAGCCCCUUCUUCCAUCUUCAAAGCGAGUAGUUGAGUGUCUUCAAGUAUUUCUGAUUGUUACUCUCCUGCCUCCUUCUUUUACGUAUAAGGAUCUUUGUGAUUACAUUGGUCCCACCAGGAAAAUCUACACACCUGCAAAGUCCCUUUUGCCACGUAAGACAACUUAUUCUCAGGUUCCAGGAGUUAGGACAUACACACCUUUGUGGGGGUGGGGAGCAGUAUUCUGUCUACCACAGGAAGCAUUUAUAUAGAGAUCAUCGGAAGAAACAAAAACAAGCUGUGGUGAAGAAGAAACGUUUUCUAAAGCCUCUUUUAUCCCCAGGAUGGUUGAGAAGUCAGAGGCCUGCAAUGCUAGGAAGAGAGGGUCUAAAGUGUCCUUUUCACCGUGAUGUAAGUAGGCUCUCCAGCAGUCCCAGAAGACUUUCACAAGAAGAGUUUCAACAACAGAAAAUAAGCCUAAGUGAUUGUGUGAAUAUCACAGAGCAACAGAGAAAAUGUAGAUCACUCCAGUUCUAGCACAAGGUCGGGGAGGAAAAAGAAUCAGAGAGUUUGGAAUUUCUAAAUGCUCGUGUUUGAGAAAUGGGGAGCAUCACAAACUAACAGCAGAGGUGGACAUUUUUUACAGGGUAAAGGAUUCCCAUGGAACACCACUCGUCAAAUGCAAAUAAAAAUUGUACAAAGAAGGUAACUUCUUUCUCUGUCCCCACAUCUCUCCAUCUGAAACUUCAUUCUUCCAUUAAAACAGAAUUGUGCUUUGUGAUGUAUAAA
ensembl:lncRNA novel transcript (hCG2045843)